UACGGAGGGUGCAAGCGUUAUCCGGAUUCACUGGGUUUAAAGGGUGCGUAGGCGGACAGGUAAGUCAGUGGUGAAAUCUCCGAGCUUAACUCGGAAACUGCCUUUGAUACUAUCUGUCUUGAAUACCGUGGAGGUGAGCGGAAUAUGUCAUGUAGCGGUGAAAUGCUUAGAUAUGACAUAGAACACCAAUUGCGAAGGCAGCUCGCUACACGAAUAUUGACUCUGAGGCACGAAAGCGUGGGGAUCAAACAGG
rnacentral:rRNA from 1 species